rnacentral:rRNA from 1 species
CGGCGGACGGGUGAGUAACGCGUGGGUAACCUGCCUCAUACAGGGGGAUAACAGUUGGAAACGGCUGCUAAUACCGCAUAAGCGCACGGUACCGCAUGGUACGGUGUGAAAAACUCCGGUGGUAUGAGAUGGACCCGCGUCUGAUUAGGUAGUUGGUGGGGUAACGGCCUACCAAGCCGACGAUCAGUAGCCGACCUGAGAGGGUGACCGGCCACAUUGGGACUGAGACACGGCCCAA